AGCGAACGCUGGCGGCAGGCCUAACACAUGCAAGUCGAGCGCCCCGCAAGGGGAGCGGCAGACGGGAGAGUAACACGUGGGAACGUACCCUUCGGUUCGGAACAACCCAGGGAAACUUGGGCUAAUACCGGAUACGUCCGAAAGGAGAAAGAUUUAUCGCCGAGGGAUCGGCCCGCGUCUGAUUAGCUAGUUGGUGGGGUAACGGCCCACCAAGGCGACGAUCAGUAGCUGGUCUGAGAGGAUGAUCAGCCUCACUGGGACUGAGACACGGCCCAGACUCCUGCGGGAGGCAGCAGUGGGGAAUAUUGGACAAUGGGCGCAAGCCUGAUCCAGCCAUGCCGCGUGGGUGAUGAAGGCCCUAGGGUUGUAAAGCCCUUUCAGCUGGGAAGAUAAUGACUGUACCAGCAGAAGAAGCACCGGCUAACUACGUGCCAGCAGCCGCCGCCGUAA
rnacentral:rRNA from 1 species